UUGUUUGAAAGUACUUUAAGGAAUAAGCCCCGGCUAACUCCGUGCCAGCAGCCGCGGUAAUACGGAGGGUGCAAGCGUUAUCCGGAUUCAUUGGGUUAAAAGGGUGCGUAGGCGGAUUUUAAGUCAGUGGUGAAAUACUGCAGCUCAACUGUAGAACUGCCAUUGAUACUGGAAAUCUUGAGUAUGAUUGAUGUGGGCGGAAUACGUCAUGUAGCGGUGAAAUGCAUAGCUUAUGACGUAGAACACCGAUAGCGAAGGCAGCUCACACAGCCAUAACUGACGCUGAGGCACGAAAGCGUAGGUAGCAAACAGGAUUAGAUACCCUGGUAGUCUACGCUGUAAACGAUGAUCACUCGCUGUGGCGGAUACACUGUCAGCGGCCAAGCGAAAGCAUUAAAGGAUU
rnacentral:rRNA from 1 species